GGCGCGACGCCUCCGCCUGCAAGUACUGCUGGGGAGCCCUCAUGGUUUUAUGGAGAACUGCGCUGGCCAAGUCCAUCGUUUUAGACCCCAUCUAUUGGAAUUCCUCCAACCCAAAAUGCACGCUCAGCCCACUGAGCCCAGCGAAGCUCCAUCUGCUUAUAGCAGGGCUAAAUUUGGUUGUGGAGUUGAUGGUAUCAAGGCACAUGGCAGUGAGUAAUGAACUAAGCAUUACCCAUCACACAACCAUUUAGUGUCAUUCUUCAUUAACAAACCCAGGCAAAAAAGUACAUGCGCUCCCAGAACUUUGCUAUCAAAGCACACCCUUAAAAUAGGAGCAUGUCCUUCAAGAGCUUAAGCAUAAGAAAUAAUGAAUGCUUUGGGGAACAGGAACUUUUUGGAAAGUGGGCCGUUCUUCUGAGGAGGAGUCUACAGGAUGAGAGAACUCUUGUCCCUUUCAUUUUUGACGUAUGCAAAGUAAAAGUUGGCUUUCUCCAGCGGUGAAACCCUUUGAACUUGAGUAAUGAGCAGCACCUUAGCAACGUUUUUCCAUGCUAGGGAGAAAAUCGGUAAUGAAAUAGGAAGCUUCCCACCAGAAAUGAGUUGGAGUAAUUUCAUCUAACUCAUACUGCAUCUUUAAUGAUAUAUGUAUUUAAAAGCAAACCGUGUACACUGAAUUAAUUGAAUUUUAAAUUUCCCAUUAAAUCCAGUGAGUACACGUCCGUAUUCCCGAGGGACUUUUUGGAGGAAAUGUUGUGCAGAAAUAAGAAGAAAGGAGAAUUUCUUGUAUUUGGGGUUUAAUCCUGUGUGGGUGGCAGACUCUGAAAACUUGGGGAAGGUUUCCAAGUUUUGGGCUCAAAGUGGCAGCCUGUGUUGACCGAGUAGUCUCGCUUUGCUGUCAUCAUUUCCCCAACGCUACUGGAGAAAAAAAUCAUUGAAAAAUACUGGCAGAGAUCAGCAAUAAUGAAAAUAUUUGCUGCGAGACUUCUUUCCAGAUAAGUUUUCUAACCUUUUUUUUUUUUACUUUAAAAAAAAAAAAAA